GAUGACAAAAUGCAUUUGCGAUGAGUUGAAGAGAGGUGAAUGACACAGCCAUUGUGAUGUAGUGUUAGGCCACUAUUGACCUUGAACACAAGCACUAAAAUACUGGAUGCCAUGACAGUUGAUCUGAUAAGCACGUGGCUAUGCAAUGACUAACAGGAACAAAUUCAUACAGUGUAACCCAGCCAAGAGAUUCCCAGAGAUUCUCAUCCUGCUCAUCUCCGUCACCAAGACGUGUGCUUGUGACUCCAGUGCUCCAGCAUGCGAUUGUCACUCAACCUAAAUCCCAGGUCAUCUUUCAAAAUCUGAGCCAAGGAAGCCUUACCAUGAACACUGAACAUCAACCAUGCCUAAUUCCCUGGCCUAGUGCUAGAGCCAAAAGGCGUAUGAACCUGGUUCCAAGAAGUUCCAAAGGAAUGGGGACAAAGGAGACAUUCAUAAAUACAUAACUGUCCGUUUGGCCCACUGUGCUAAGGCACAAUAAGAAAAGCGAGAUAAUACAUCCUUUUGAGUGGAAGGGAGGUGGUCAUCACCUACAGUGCUGGCCUUUCCCUUUUCUAACCACCCAUUGUUCUUCCUGGUAAUACAAUUUAGCACCUGC